rnacentral:rRNA from 1 species
AACGAACGCUGGCGGCAGGCUUAACACAUGCAAGUCGAGCGCCCCGCAAGGGGAGCGGCAGACGGGUGAGUAACGCGUGGGAAUCUACCCAUCUCUACGGAAUAACGCAUGGAAACGUGUGCUAAUACCGUAUACGUCCUUCGGGAGAAAGAUUUAUCGGAGAUGGAUGAGCCCGCGUUGGAUUAGCUAGUUGGUGGGGUAAAGGCCUACCAAGGCGACGAUCCAUAGCUGGUCUGAGAGGAUGAUCAGCCACACCGGGACCGAGACACGGCCCAGACUCCUACGGGAGGCAGCAGUGGGGAAUAUUGGACAAUGGGCGCAAGCCUGAUCCAGCCAUGCCGCGUGAGUGAUGAAGGCCCUAGGGUUGUAAAGCUCUUUCACCGGUGAAGAUAAUGACGGUAACCGGAGAAGAAGCCCCGGCUAACUUCGUGCCAGCAGCCGCCGUAAAAC